CCUACGGGAGGCAGCAGUCGAGAAUCAUUCACAAUGGGGGAAACCCUGAUGGUGCGACGCCGCGUGGGGGAAUGCAGGUCUUCGGAUUGUAAACCCCUGUCAUGUGGGAGCAAAUUAAAAAGAUAGUACCACAAGAGGAAGAGACGGCUAACUCUGUGCCAGCAGCCGCGGUACUACAGAGGUCUCAAGCGUUGUUCGGAAUCACUGGGCGUAAAGCGUGCGUAGGCUGUUUCGUAAGUCGUGUGUGAAAGGCGCGGGCUCAACCCGCGGACGGCACAUGAUACUGCGAGACUAGAGUAAUGGAGGGGGAACCGGAAGUCGCGGUGUAGCAGUGAAAUGCGUAGAUAUCGAGAGGAACACUCGUGGCGAAGGCGGGUUCCUGGACAUUAACUGACGCUGAGGCACGAAGGCGAGGGGAGCGAAAGGGAUUAGAUACCCUUGUAGUC
rnacentral:rRNA from 1 species